GUUCGUUACGGACGUUUGAAAAAUGUGGCGUUUAGGAAGUCGCGUGCCGGAGGUAGACUCUGCAGCAAGUCCCCCUGACCGGGGCUGUUACCCAGAGCGGGUGCGAGGCCCAUAGUUGCUAAGUCUUCUUCGGAUGUGACCUCUUGGGAGUCGGGUUGCUUGGGAGUGCAACCCUAAUCGGGUGGUAAACUCCACCUAAGACUAAAUACGGCCGUGAGACCGAUAGCAAACAAGUACCGUGAGGGAAAGUUGCAAAGAACUUUGAAGAGAGAGUUCAAGAGUACGUGAAACUGCUCAGAGGCAAACGGGUGGGCCCUCGAAAUCCUCUGGCGGGGGGAUUCAGUCAGGAGAGGCGGAGGUGUUCGUCGAUUACAACGGACCCUUUCCAAGGCCGGGUCGGCGGCACGGUCUCUGUUUUACCUGACGCAUUUCCUCCCGCACUAAGGACGCCGCAGCCGGUUGGGUAGCUGCGCGAGUCGGCCAUGAGGGCGGGCACCGGCAGGUGACCAGUGGUGUUGCUCAGCGCCAUCGGUUGUUAGCCAGCUCGUCCGUGGCGCGACACCCGACCGAGGUUGAAUUGUUCCCGUAUGGGAACUCGCCGUCCCCUUCGGAGCGGGCGCUGGCAGGCGUAUCGCGGUGUUGCCUCGUCACUCUCGUAGUGGCCGGUGCACCGAGGUCGCUGGUGG
rnacentral:rRNA from 1 species